AGCGAUGGCGGCGGGGCUGGCACGGAGCGUGCUACUGAGCGGCUCCAACCGCGGCAUAGGGCUGGAGCUGGUGAGGCAGCUGCUGGGGGUCCCCGCGCCCCCCACCUACAUCUUCGCCACCUGCCGGGACCCCGACGGGCCGCGGGCUAAGGACCUGAGAGAUCUGGCAUCCAGACACCCAAACCUGGUUCUUGUGAAGCUGGAUGUCGCAGAGCCCUCCGCUGUCACUGCGGCGGUGAAGGUGGUGGAGGAGAAGCUGCGCGGCCUGGGCCUGAACCUGCUGAUAAACAACGCUGGCAUCUACAGCUCCAUGGCCUCGCUGGACACUGUGGAUGCUGAGGAUAUGAUAAGGACCUACCGGACCAAUACCGUGGGACCGAUGCUGAUGGCCCAGGCCUUCCUGCCUCUGUUGAAGAAGGCUGCCCAAGAGAGCCCAGAGGAAGGCCUGAGCUUCAGCAAGGCAGCCAUCAUCAACAUCUCUUCUACCCUGGGGUCCAUCGAGAGGACCCCCGAGACCUUCUUCAAGCCUGUCAUCUCCUACCGGUGCAGCAAGGCUGCCCUCAACAUGCUCACCAAGUGCCAGGCUCUGACCUACAGGGAAGCUGGCAUCCUCUGUGUGGCACUUCACCCUGGCUGGGUGAAAACUGACAUGGGCGGCCAGGAGAUGAAGAGCCACUGGCAAAGACUCGCUGCACCAGGGGCUGGGGUCAGGCAGGUUCCCCGGGCAGGACAUGGAGAGUCCUGGCAGGACUUUGCAAGAUCACCGCGAGACUCAUUUUGAAAGGUAACCUCCCGUGGUCAAGUGGGGCAACCCGUUAGAGGCAAAGGCCACCCCAGCAGGAGAGGGCAAGGAGAUGGGGAACGGAAAAGGGCUGCUGCGUGAUACAGGAGGAGAGGGCAAGGAGAUGGGGAACGGAAAAGGGCUGCUGCGUGACACAGCCGCGGAGGUGGAGCAGCAGGCAGGAGGCAGGGCACAAACACCCAGCCCAUGAGGAAGCGCUGGGACGCCAGCCAGGGGGGUCGGGGGGGGGACGGCUGCAGCAGCUCCAGGUGCAGCAGAGCUUCACUGGACGAGGAAGGACCAAAGCAGGGGCAAGCAGAACUGCAGAGAGCUCAGCCGGGACCUGGAGAUCCCCUUAGCAAGAGUCUUCCAGCCAGGCCAGCCCUGUGUGCUGCCGAGGGGCAGGUACUGUCCAUGGCACGGGGAGACAGCAGGACGGUCAUGGUGGGGCGAUCACUGUGCUGGGUGGCACCGUGGUCCUGUGGCUCAGGACUGGGCUGGGCAGCCGUUCCCAAAGCCACCAGUGGCGGAUAGGGUGGUGCUGGGAAGGCUGCACGGCCUGGGGACCUGCAGCUCCCUGGGAGGUGCAGUGCCAGGAGGGUGCUGGGGCGCAGGGCAGCCAGCGGAGUGCCAGGAGCCAGCCUGGGUGCAGGAGAAACGCAGCUCAGGAGCAGGCACAUCCAGGACCCUGCAGCACCAGGCCUGCCCAGGAAGCCACGUGGGGCCAGGAGAUAGCGCUGAGGCUUCCUCCCGGCCACUCCAUCACUAUCUGGCCCUGCAGAACUCCUUCCAAGCCUGUCCAGCUCUUCUCCCUCUGUUAUUGUUAGCCGGCAGGAAGCAGCUCAACAAGUCCCACCUCGGGCCUUUAACCCGCUGCUGCCUGGGCUGCUGCUCUCUGCUCCCUCGGUCAGAGCCAGUAAGAAGAUCACUUUGGUGCUGGGAGCUUGCUGCAGGCUUUACCUCUCCGGGACCCAGCAGCACUCCUGGGCAGGUCUGCUUCAGGCCCUGGUGUCCCCCUCAGCCACCUCUGCAAAGGGAAGGUGAUGGUUUGUCUCUGUGGGACUGGAGUGAAGGUCCUGAGGGCUUUAGGUGCUGAUGCUUCUCUCCUUACUUUCUCUUCCCCCUUUAGGUGUCAGAGCCUUCCAGACUUCCUCUGGAAGUCCCCUGCUUUGCUGAAGGGGCACUAUGGAGGUGCCAGCUCUGCACAGAUUCACCCCAAAGCCUUAAGAACCAUUCUGGAGUAAAAUCCAUCUUGGGAAGCAAGCUGAAGCACUUUGCCAGCCUCGUUUGACCAGCCAGGGUUUAACGGAAGCCCAAGGUCUCUGGAGGUGCCAGCUGCCACUGCCCGGGGAGGGAGCUGAAGGCUCCUGCUGCAGAGGGCACCUUCUCUGGGAGACCAACCUGAGUGCCUGCUGGUAUUGAGAAGAGGAGGCUGAGGGGAGACCUCAC